GUCGAACGGCAGCGGACCUUCGGGUGCCGGCGAGUGGCGAACGGGUGAGUAAAGUAUCGGAACGUACCUUAGAGUGGGGGAUAACGUAGCGAAAGUUACGCUAAUACCGCAUAUUCUGUGCGCAGGAAAGCAGGGGAUCUUCGGACCUUGUGCUCUUUGAGCGGCCGAUAUCAGAUUAGCUAGUUGGUGGGGUAAAGGCCUACCAAGGCGACGAUCUGUAGCGGGUCUGAGAGGAUGAUCCGCCACACUGGAACUGAGACACGGUCCAGACUCCUACGGGAGGCAGCAGUGGGGAAUUUUGGACAAUGGGCGCAAGCCUGAUCCAGCCAUGCCGCGUGAGUGAAGAAGGCCUUCGGGUUGUAAAGCUCUUUCAGCCGGGAAGAAAUCGCACAGGCUAAUACCGUGUGUGGAUGACGGUACCGGAAUAAGAAGCACCGGCUAACUACGUGCCAGCAGCCGCGGUAAUACGUAGGGUGCGAGCGUUAAUCGGAAUUACUGGGCGUAAAGCGUGUGUAGGCGGUUCGGAAAGAAAGAUGUGAAAUCCCAGGGCUCAACCUUGGAACUGCAUUUUUAACUGCCGAGCUAGAGUAUGUCAGAGGGGGGUAGAAUUCCACGUGUAGCAGUGAAAUGCGUAGAUAUGUGGAGGAAUACCGAUGGCGAAGGCAGCCCCCUGGGAUAAUACUGACGCUCAGACACGAAAGCGUGGGGAGCAAACAGGAUUAGAUACCCUGGUAGUCCACGCCCUAAACGAUGUCAACUAGCUGUCGGGGCCGUUAGGCCUUAGUAGCGCAGCUAACGCGUGAAGUUGACCGCCUGGGGAGUACGGUCGCAAGAUUAAAAC
rnacentral:rRNA from 1 species